rnacentral:rRNA from 1 species
UACGGGGGGAGCAAACGUUGUUCGGAAUCACUGGGCGUAAAGGGCGUGUAGGCGGCUGGAUAAGUGGGAUGUUAAAUCCCCCGGCUCAACCGGGGACCUGCAUCUCAUACUGUUCAGCUCGAGCACAUCAGAGGAGACUGGAAUUCCCGGUGUAGCGGUGAAAUGCGUAGAUAUCAGGAGGAACACCAAUUGCGAAGGCAGCUCGCUGGGACGUUACUGACGCUGAGACGCGAAAGCGUGGGGAGCAAACAGG